GACAUAGGGGGCCAGCGUUGUUCGGAAUUACUGGGUGUAAAGGGUUCGUAGGCGGUGUGGCAAGUCGGGAGUGAAAUCUCUGGGCUCAACCCAGAGUCUGCUUCCGAAACUGCUGUGCUUGAGUGUGGGAGAGGCGCGUGGAAUUGCAGGUGUAGCGGUGAAAUGCGUAGAUAUCUGCAGGAACACCCGUGGCGAAAGCGGCGCGCUGGACCACUACUGACGCUGAGGAACGAAAGCUAGGGGAGCAAACAGG
rnacentral:rRNA from 1 species